AACGAACGCUGGCGGCAGGCUUAACACAUGCAAGUCGAGCGCCCCGCCAGGGGAGCGGCAGACGGGUGAGUAACGCGUGGGAACGUACCUUUUGGUUCGGAACAACUCCGGGACACUGGAGCUAAUACCGGAUAAGCCCUAACGGGGAAAGAUUUAUCGCCGAAAGAUCGGCCCGCGUCUGAUUAGCUAGUUGGUGAGGCAACGGCUCACCAAGGCGACGAUCAGUAGCUGGUCUGAGAGGAUGAUCAGCCACACUGGGACUGAGACACGGCCCAGACUCCUACGGGAGGCAGCAGUGGGGAAUAUUGGACAAUGGGCGCAAGCCUGAUCCAGCCAUGCCGCGUGAGUGAUGAAGGCCUUAGGGUUGUAAAGCUCUUUUGUCCGGGAAGAUAAUGACUGUACCGGAAGAAUAAGCCCCGGCUAACUUCGUG
rnacentral:rRNA from 1 species